GUGAGACAGUUGAUGUUAAUCCUAAGCAAAAUUCCACAGCAGGUUUUUCAAAGUAUGAUUUUUGCUCAUUGUGUAAAGAAAACGUGCUCAGGAGGAGACAGCACAGAGCUCACAGAGAGGACUGGCAUCUUCUGUUUUUGUUGCUCAUGUUCCUAGAGUUGUAAUAAGGGAGGACAGUAGCUGAAGGGUGUCUUGAUUUCAGCUUGAAAACGUUUAUCACUCAUUCACCUGAGAAGGACGGAGACUGAGCCAGGAGAAGCAGAACUGGGUACAUUCAUAACUGACUGAACAAUGAAAGUUUGUAAAUGCGGGAGGAUUAGUCAAUGUCGUUUUGGAAGGAAGUCUCCAGAAUGGCCUGCUGGACUCUGCUUUGGACUUUUUCCAGAACGACCUAAUUAUCUGAUUGGCAAAUCACAGAAAAUGGAAAUGGAAUCUCUUACCCUUUCAUUGACAGAAUCUGAGGCCGACAAUUUUCAGCAGUCUGAAACAACAGGGAUAAAUGCUCAGGGCGAUUCCCUGUGCCGGGAACACAUCCGAUUGCACUGGCGUGGUCAUGUGACCGGAGUACUAUCCACUCAGCUGCCUUCUGCUCUGUGUCGGCCUCCUGUGAGGUUCUACUCCCUCUCGUUGGGAGCCCUAUGUUACGGAAGUGUGCUGCGAGAACAAGGAGGGCUCUGAAUCAAGCAGCAUAAAAACACAUGCAUGGAGGAGUCUGCGCUGUUUUGCUGUUCUUGUCACAGUGUCUGUCAAGAGGAGAGCUCAGAUACCUCAGGGAAAGCUUUCUGAUGGGCGAGCAUUUGAAAAUAAAAAGGCAAAGACAGACAUUGAGCAGAUUCACAAGGGAGAGGAAACCCCUGAAGAAAUUUGAGAAAAAUUAAAGCAGUAACAACGGAGGUGUUGGGCACAGGUUUAACCUUUGAUAAAAAUCGGGCAAGAACAACAAAUACAAAUAUUGGUGAUGAAAGAACUAGAAAUUCAAGUUAAAAUCAGCAUGAAUAAGGAUUCACGUGGUAUGAAAGCGGCAACC
rnacentral:lncRNA from 1 species